CAACGUUCACCAGCUUUACCAGUCAUUCUUUCUCAAUAAGGAGGAAAAAAAGGAAAGCUGCUGAACGCAUUCUGCUGCCGUGCACAGCUCCUCCAUUUCUCCUGCAUCCGAAGUCUUCCUUCUCACUCCUGCCCCGGGAGUUCCUGCUCCCUUAUCCCUUCUUGAAGGACAGCAGCUUCUAGGAUUCUGUUUGUGAAGGUGUACGUAUUAGAAAGAAGAUGCAGUGCUUUCUCAGUUUUCUUCUUCUCUGCGGUGCUGUUUUAUAAGGGAGAUCAAAGACUUGUUCAGGGAAUUCAUUGCAAGUAUUUUGAGACAAACAUUUUAAGCCCUCGGUGUUUCUGUUUCUUGUUAUUCAGCUGUUUUCACAAACCCUAUACACUUCAGUGAAAAUUAAAUGAUUUCUUCUACCCACCUA